CCAUCCACAGUGCAAAUGGAGAUCUGCCCUCCCGGUUAUUUUUCCCUUCCCUGGGAGGGUCAACCUUAGUGCUCAAACACUUUUCCAGCUGUUGUGAUACUGAUGGGAACUUCAUGUGUGUUACCAGCACAAGUGCUCUCAGGAAGAAACCAAAUGUCAAACGGAGCCCCGGUUCCAUUGUAGAGCCAUAAUGGAAUGACUGGAAUUCCAGAAGACUUCAGUUUAUGAACUUAGUCCUAUUUCGGUUAUGUAAUAUUAGGAAUCGGAUAAUACUCGGUCAUUAUAACUGCCUGCUUAUUUAUGAGGAGACUUUCUCAUUGAAGGCUUUGAGACCAGAACCAGAGAACACCGUGAAUUGAAUCGCAACUGAGCACCAUGCUGAAAUAUUGUUUCAAUCGUAACUUUUUAAAGACAUGAUGAAAAAAAUAUCAACUGGCAGGAUGCAAGAAAAAAAAAUGCAUACUACAAGUGGAAACAUAAUUUUACAGGCAUCUUUAUGCCGUUGAAUAGAAAAAUCACAAAGCUCUAGCCAUAAAUCCUGUUGUUCAGCCUAUUAAACAGCUCCUAUUUCAGAA